AACGUAGGCGGACUUUUAAGUGAGAUGUGAAAUACCCGGGCUCAACUUGGGUGCUGCAUUUCAAACUGGAAGUCUAGAGUGCAGGAGAGGAGAAUGGAAUUCCUAGUGUAGCGGUGAAAUGCGUAGAGAUUAGGAAGAACACCAGUGGCGAAGGCGAUUCUCUGGACUGUAACUGACGCUGAGGCUCGAAAGCGUGGGAGCAAACA
rnacentral:rRNA from 1 species